CAGCAGCCGCGGUAAUACGAAGGGGGCUAGCGUUGUUCGGAAUUACUGGGCGUAAAGGGCGCGUAGGCGGCCAUUCAAGUUAGAUGUGAAAGCCCUGGGCUCAGCCUAGGAAUUGCAUUUGAUACUGUUUGGCUUGAGUUCGGGAGAGGUGAGUGGAAUUCCCAGUGUAGAGGUGAAAUUCGUAGAUAUUGGGAAGAACACCAGUGGCGAAGGCGGCUCACUGGACCGACACUGACGCUGAGGCGCGAAAGCGUGGGGAGCAAACAGGAUUAGAUACCCCGGUAGUCCCUGUCUCUUAUAC
rnacentral:rRNA from 1 species